GAUGAACGCUGGCGGCGUGCCUAACACAUGCAAGUCGAACGAAGCACCUUACCUGAUUCUUCGGAUGAAAGUUUGGUGACUGAGUGGCGGACGGGUGAGUAACGCGUGGGUAACCUGCCCUGUACAGGGGGAUAACAGCUGGAAACGGCUGCUAAUACCGCAUAAGCGCACGAGGAGACAUCUCCUUGUGUGAAAAACUCCGGUGGUACAGGAUGGGCCCGCGUCUGAUUAGCUGGUUGGCAGGGUAACGGCCUACCAAGGCAACGAUCAGUAGCCGGUCUGAGAGGAUGAACGGCCACAUUGGAACUGAGACACGGUCCAAACUCCGACGGGAGGCAGCAGUGGGGAAUAUUGCACAAUGGGGGAAACCCUGAUGCAGCAACGCCGCGUGAGUGAAGAAGUAUUUCGGUAUGUAAAGCUCUAUCAGCAGGGAGGAUAAUGACGGUACCUGACUAAGAAGCUCCGGCGAAAUACGU
rnacentral:rRNA from 1 species